rnacentral:ncRNA from 2 species
CCACCUGCCCGGAUCGUUGAGCCGGGUAGGCACGGUGGAAGGGGAAGCCGGUCAGAAUCCGGCGCUGGUCCGCAACCGUAGGUGGUCAUCACGACCACGAGCCGGGAUACCAGCCAUCGCGCAGCAACUCAC